ACGGUAAGCGCGAGGCGCUCCGGAGCUGCGCAUGGCCGACGUCCCGUUGAUCAAGACGCUAGUCGUUAUCCUUGCCUCCGCCGGCUGCAUCAGCUUGGUUGCGCGCGCGCGGCUUCCCGCGGCUGGGGGGNNNNNGGUUACCUAUUGGCUGGCUUGAUCAUCGGCCCGCAUGGGCUAAACCUCAUCGUUACGAGCGAUGAAACGAGAUUCCUGGCGGAACUCGGCAUCAUUUUUCUCAUGUUCAUGGUCG
rnacentral:misc_RNA from 1 species